rnacentral:rRNA from 1 species
UGGGGAAUUUUGGACAAUGGGCGCAAGCCUGAUCCAGCCAUGCUGCGUGAGUGAAGAAGGCCUUCGGGUUGUAAAGCUCUUUCAGUAGGAACGAAACGAUAGGCUCUAACAUAGCCUGUUACUGACGGUACCUACAGAAGAAGCACCGGCUAACUACGUGGCAGCAGCCGCGGUAAUACGUAGGGUGCGAGCGUUAAUCGGAAUUACUGGGCGUAAAGCGUGCGCAGGCGGUUUCUUAAGCCAGAUGUGAAAGCCCCGGGCUUAACCUGGGAUUUGCGUUUGGAACUGGGAGACUAGAGUGUGGCAGAGGGAGGUAGAAUUCCACGUGUAGCAGUGAAAUGCGUAGAGAUGUGGAGGAAUACCGAUGGCGAAGGCAGCCUCCUGGGCCAACACUGACGCUCAUGCACGAAAGCGUGGGGAGCAAACAG